GUUAUUAUCAUUACUAAAAACAGCUAGUGGUUAAGAUAUAGGGCGCACCUGCAAUUGACUAAAAAAUCUCUUCUAAAUCUUUCCCCUGCUCUGCAUAAGAAAAAAAAAAUACAAAUAUAAGUUAUGUCUGCAGAAAUUGAAGAUAAGUCUGCAGCAAUAACAAGGAUCCAUCAAGUCUGUAGAAAUAUGAAUUAUGAUACAGGUAGGCAUCUUAUGGUAUAUAAGAAAGUGAAAACAGAGCAUAUUAGCUAUGCGCAGGAUGACAGUUACCAAUGAGCAGAGUAUAUAAGAAUUUUACUGGAGUGAACCUGUCAUUGUUCUUAUCCUGCACUACCACUAUCAUUGAUCAUAGUCAGCAAGGAUUACAGUUGCCAAACAAGAAUAAUAAUGCCCAUUUUAAACGGUCAUGCAUGUAUCCAUUACUUUGCUGAACUUGAUAGCUAGAUAAUGAUUCCUUUACAUCAACUUUUUAUCAACUAAAAUAUUAAGAUAAGAGAAUUAAUAAAACUAAAAUGAGAAAUUUGAAUACAUAAAUGCUACUGUGCACAUAUGCCAAAGACCCCCCAAAAUUCUCUCCUGUAUUUCCGAAAGGCUCUAACAUUUCUCAAGAGGUUACACCAAAGUGCAAUGAAUACAUAUAACUAACAGCCUUUGUGAAAUAUAUAGGUAGUCUCAUAUUCCUCAUAUUUUGUUUCUUAAUUAUCUAUCUAAAAUGAAACCCCCCAUUAAUUAUCUGUAAAUUAUGUAACUAAUUUGGGGAAAUCUAUGCUCAUGUGCAAUAGUUUUAGAAACCACACAUCAGAGGUUAUAAAAAAAAUCAGAAAUUAUCUCAUUUAAUCAUCUGCAUAAUAAUCAAAAUUUCUCAAAUUCGCAUCUAUAACAGUUGUACUGCAUUUCGAUUUGGAUAAAAAUGAAGAAAUACUAGUUGGAAGUUUACCAUUCUAAAACCACACACCACAACGUUUCAUCCUCUUCUAACAUGUUGAAGGCUAUCGCAGUAUCAUUGUACAUAUAUUCACACUAAGAAUUUGAGGAUAGCCAAUUGCCGCGUACUCAAGAGUAAUUUGGGGAAAGAGAGUGACAGAGCCAUGAAUUUGCUAUCAAAAUCAGAGCAUCAAUCCACGUCCGAUUUCAGUUGCUUUGCUAUUUCUAUUUAUCAAAAUCAAGGAAUUGAAUUUACCUGGAUUCAAGUACAAUGAUUUGUGAGAGAGCAACUCCAGGGAGAGAGCAGCAGCAACGAGCGAUAGAUUUGUGAGAGAAGUGAAUUUGUGAAUUUGUGAGAGAGGGAUUUUGGGAUGUGAAUUGAUGAAUCGAGGAGAGAAGUGAGAGAAAAUGGAAAUGACGAAGUGAGAGAGUGUGAGGAGUAACAAGAGUGAGGAGUA
rnacentral:lncRNA from 1 species